rnacentral:lncRNA from 1 species
UUUACCUGAAACAAUAGCGUAACAUCAUGACAUAGAAAGACACACUAUAAAAUAUUAAUUGAAAUGGCUUAACUCAAUCAAAAGACAUGAAAACUAAAGUGUGAAUAGGGGAAUUUUAUUUACACUUUAAAGAAGAGUUUUGCUUAGAACCAUAUUUGUUAAAGUUCAGGCGGGGUCAUAGAGUAAAUAUAUGUAAAUUAAGGGUAUGUAAUACAAAGUUUCCCAUUGAAACAGGAAGAUGGAGAAAUGUACCACGAAAUGAGAGAAUUUGUCCACUUUGUAAAGCGGGUCUUGGGGAUGUGUACCACUAUAUAAGUAUACAUACCAAUUGUGAAGUUAAAGAUUUAAGGGGGAAGUUCAUACCUCCAUAUUAUUUAAAAUAUCCAAAUGUUAAAAAAGUACUGGGCA